rnacentral:rRNA from 1 species
AUUGAACGCUGGCGGCAGGCCUAACACAUGCAAGUCGAGCUGAGCGUCGGACGGGUGAUUAAUGCCUGGGACUCUGCCUGGUAGUGGGGGAUCACGUCCGGAAACUGGCGCUUAUACCGCAUACUAUCAGAUGAGCCUAGGUCGUAUUAGCUAGUGGGUGGGGUAAAGGCCUACCAAGGCGGCGAGCCGUACAUGGUCUGAGAGGAUGAUCAGUCAAACUGGAACUGAGACACGGUCCAGACUCCUACGGGAGGCAGCAGUGGGGAAUAUUGGACAAUGGGCGAAAGCCUGAUCCAGCAAUGCCGCGUGUGUGAAGAAGGUCUUCGGAUUGUAAAGCACUUUAAGUUGGGAGGCGUUACCAACAGAAUAAGCACCGGCUAACUUCGUGCCAGCAGCCGCGGUAAUUC